rnacentral:rRNA from 1 species
ACUCAAAGGAAUAGACGGGGGCCCGCACAAGCGGCGGAGCGUGCGGUUUAAUUCGACGCAACGCGCAAAACCUUACCGAGGCUUGACAUGGGACUGCAGCCGCGUGAAAGCGCGGGGCCUUCGAGGGUGUCCCACAGGUGCUGCAUGGCUGUCGUCAGCUCGUGCCGUGAGGUGUUGGGUUAAGUCCCGCAACGAGCGCAACCCUCGCGCCUAGUUGAAUCUAUCUAGGCGGACUGCCGGCCGCAAACCGGAGGAAGGUGGGGAUGAUGUCAAGUCAGCAUGGCCCUUACGCCUCGGGCUACACGCACGCUACAAUGGCCGGGACAGUGGGUAGCCAAGCCGCAAGGCGGAGCGAAUCCCCCAAACCCGGUCUCAGUUCGGAUCGCGGGCUGCAACUCGCCCGCGUGAAGGCGGAGUCGCUAGUAACCGCGGGUCAGCACUACCGCGGUGAAUAUGUUCCCGGGCCUUGUACACACCGCCCGU